UUUAUUUCUUUGUAGUGGACCAAUUUUUGAGAAGCCCAAAUAAUAAAUAAUUAUUCUACUCCUCCUGCAGUCAAAUUUUAGUCAAAUAAAUUUCUCCCAAUCCCACUACUGUUCGGUUUUCUCCAUAUCUCCUUCCCUCCUAAAAUCUCUCCAACCAAAUAACCCCUUUUGACGCCACAUACGUAUAUACAUAUAUCUUCCCUUUAAUCUCAACAAAUUACCGUCUUCCGUUCUGCAAUUCUCCUCCUCCUCCGUUAAGUGUAAAGGAGAAACUGGGAGAGUUGUUAUUACAUUCUGUUGUGCAAAUUUUUUCUUUUUCUUCCCAAAGGGUGAGCUUGUGCACGUUGUUUGCGGUGGGACCAGAGAGUGAUUAAGGAGUUAAGCUGUUAAGAUUGAGCGGCGAUGGGCGUGGAGGAUGUUGAGCAGAGUCCAUGGAUUGUUUUGUCAUGGUUAAUAAUUGUUGGUUUUGUCGUGUCUUCAUACUCGGCAUUUUCCGUGUCUUGAACGCUUCCGCUAAGAGUCCUUUUCUUUAGAAUUGUUUAUUCGUGGAGAGUCUAACUCGUUUGAAAAUUGUUUAUUGUCCAUUCUUUAUUUA